UCAAGAGUACGUGAAACUGCUUAGAGGUUAAGCCCGAUGAACCUGAAUAUCCAUUAUGGAAAAUUCAAUACUAAUAUGAUUAUAUAAAUAAUAUAUUUAAAAAAGUAUGCAAUUUUUCCAUAUAAGGACAUUGUAAUCUGUUAAUGAAAUAUAAAAAAUUUAUCAAAAAAUCUUUAACUAAAGUUUAUUCAAAUUGUUUAUCUUCGGAUAUUCAACAUAAAGUAAAUGUUUUAGAUAUAAUAAAUUAUUGACAGAUAUAAUUAUAUAAUGUGCUCAAAUUUAGAAAUAAAUUUUACAAUGGUAUUUAAAUCGAAUGAUAUAUUUAUUUAAUUGUUGGCACUUUUAUGAUUAACAAUGCGAUAGAUUCAGGAUACCUUCGGGACCCGUCUUGAAACACGGACCAAGGAGUCUAACAUAUGUGCAAGUCAUUGGGUAUUUUUAAUAAAACCCAAUGGCAUAAUUAACUUAACUUUAUAAUAAUGGGAUUAGUUUAUAUUUUGUCAUGAAAUAUUUAUUCAAUCCCGGGGCGUUCUAUACAGUUAUGCAUAAUGAUAUUUAUAUUAUUUAUGUCUCUAACUAGAGCGUACCUUGAGCAUAUAUGCUGUGACCCGAA
rnacentral:rRNA from 1 species